AUAUCAAUAUAAUCUUUCAGACUGAAUGGACAAUAGGCAAACCAUUGAAUAAGAAAUGCGAAAUGCCUCCUCCUCCUUUUGGCAAAAUGUUAACAAUUGCAACCCCUUAUAUAAUUCUAUAAUGUUUCAGCAUUUUUGCUUAGAAUGGGAUCUUUUUACACCUUCAAGUGUCAGUGGCCAAAUUGUACACUGAAAGCUGAGGCUUUAGAUGAGCUACUUAGUCAUGUUGAAACUAUCCACAUACCCAAAGAACGACACCAAUAUGAUGAUCCUGAACGCAGGCCCUCAGAUCAGCUACCGCUGUCUUGUAUCUACAACUAUUCAACUGGGCCUGUACAGCUACGGUACAAGAGAUCAAGAUCACACGCGGACAAGUCUAUCCGUGACAACUUUUCUGCCAGAGAAAGGGAAUGUACUCAAGAGCAGCUCCAAGACAGGUUCAAUUUUGAUGAGGACGAUUUUGCUACCCAUCAAACUCCUAUCAACGAAGAACAUUUGAUGAAAAUGGACAUAGUGACACAAGAUCAGCGUAGAAUUAAGACUGGGAUAUUAAAAGCUAAUGCUAGAGCACAAGAAAGUCAUAAAUGUCAUUGCGGGAAGUCGUAUAGAAGCAGCAAUGCUUUAAGAAAUCACAUGAUGACAUAUCAUGCAGCUAGAGGCAGUCAGAUAGCCACUGACGAUUCAUGAAUUUAUUAUUGGUUCUGAACAAUUUAUUAUUGGUUCUAAACAUUUUUUUAAACGAUUGUGGAUUGGUGUAACGGGUUGAAAUGACAAGUGUACUUGCCGUGAUUUAUAAUCGGUUAUCUUUAAAUCCUUGUUGUCGGAACCUAUCUACAGUAACAACUAUUAGUUUGGUCUACUGAGAAAUCUUAUAGUAGAUUCAUGAGCAAACAAACAACUAUGAUGACGAAGUAUCUCGCUGUCCUGUCUGUCAAAGAAUUUAUUGUCGAUCUUUAAAUCCUGGCCUUUAAGUCCCUUUCUAUACACGGUUUGGCAAAAAUCCUGGGAUAUUUAUUAUACUGCAGUAAGGGGCUGUAAGGAAAUAAUAAACUAUAUAGCUGUAUAUUAUAUGUAUAUAUGUAUUUUUUAUUUGAAUAGUUUUGCAAUUGAAGUAUUCCAUCAA